GAGUUUGAUCGUGGCUCAGGAUGAACGCUGGCGGCGUGCUUAACACAUGCAAGUCGAACGAGGAAUUUUAAAUGAGACUUCGGUGGAUUUUAAAAUUACUUAGUGGCGGACGGGUGAGUAACGCGUGGGCGAACCUGCCCUGUACAGGGGGACGAACAGCUGGAAACGGACUGCUAAUACCGCAUAAGACCACGGAGCCGCAUGGCUCAGUGGGAAAAACGUACCGGUGGUACAGGAUGGGCCCGCGUUGGAUUAGGUAGUUGGUGAGGUAACGGCCCACCAAGCCGACGAUCCAUAGCCGACCUGAGAGGGUGACCGGCCACGUUGGGACUGAGACACGGCCCAAACUCCUACGGGAGGCAGCAGUGGGGAAGUCUUCCGCAAUGGGCGAAAGCCUGACGGAGCAACGCCGCGUGAGUGAAGAAUUAUUUCGGUAUGUAAAGCUCUAUCAGCAGGGAAGAAAAUGACGGUACCUGACUAAGAAGCCCCGGCUAACUACGUGACAGCAGCCGCCGCAGUAAC
rnacentral:rRNA from 1 species